UACCUGCAGCUCAAGUGGUGACCACUAUUAUUGGGCCUAAAACGUUCGUAGCCGGUUUAUUAAAUGCUUGGGUAAAUCGUGUAGCUUAACUAUACGAAUUCCGGGUAGACUGAUAGACUUGAGACCGGGAGAAGCUAGAGGUACUCCUGGGGUAGAGGUGAAAUUCUGUAAUCCUGGGGGGACCACCAGUGGCGAAGGCGUCUAGCUAGAACGGGUCUGACGGUGAGGAACGAAGCCCUGGGGCGCAAACCGGAUUAGAUACCCGGGUAGUCCAGGGUGUAAACGCUGCUUGCUUGAUGUUAGUUGGGCUCCGAGCCCAAUUAGUGUCGGAGAGAAGUUGUUAAGCAAGCUGCCUGGGAAGUACGAUCGCAAGAUUGAAACUUAAAGGAAUUGGCGGGGGAGCACAGCAACGGGUGGAGCGUACGGUUU
rnacentral:rRNA from 1 species